rnacentral:lncRNA from 1 species
ACUCGGGUCCCCUUCCACACUGUGGAAGCUUUGUUCUUUCGCUCUGCAAUAAAUCUUGCUACUGCUCACUCUUUGGGUCCACACUGCUUUUAUGAGCUGUAACACUCACUGCGAAGGUCUGCAGCUUCACUCCUGAGCCAGCGAGACCAUGAACCCACCAGAAGGAAAAAACUCCGAACACAGCCGAACAUCAGAAGGAACAAACUCCAGACGUGCCACCUCAAGAGAUGUAACACUCACCGCAAGGGUCCGCGGCUUCAUUCUUGAAGUCAGUGAGACCAAGAACCCACCAAUUCCGGACACACUAGGGAAGCCUGAAAAAGACCCUCUUAAUUUGGCAAGAAACCAUGUUGAAGUUGAUUCCUGGUUAAUGACUGGAAGAAAAACUUCCAUGCAAUGAGGAGAAGCAACAAAAGGGAGAAAUUCAAUUGAAAAAAAGAAUAUAGUUAGCAAUGAACAAGAAGCAAGUGUCCUCUCACCAACACAGCUGACUCUGGUAACCACAAACCUCAGCUAAACCCAGAAGUCAAGAGCUGUCACUUAAGUUUUGUUUCAUUUCUGAGUGAAACCCUUCUAAGACUUUAUUACAUGCAAUGCCAUGGAUUAAUGUCAUAGACAUAAUGUUAAAUGAAAGACGUACUGUAUGAUCCCAUUUACAUGAUGUUCAAGGACAGACAAAAAUAAUCUAUGGUAAUAAAAGAAUUGUGGUUCCCUUGUGGGGGUGAAGAUGUACUGUAUGAUCCCAUUUACAUGACGUUCAAGGACAGACAAAAAUAAUCUAUGGUAGUAAAGGAAUUGUGGUUCCCUUUUUGGAGUGGGGGUGGUAGGUAAUUGACUCAAAGGGGACAUGAAGGAACUUUCUGGAAUGAUGGAAAUGCUCUGUAUCUUGAUCUGGGUGGUAGUUAUACAGACAGGGGCAUA